rnacentral:rRNA from 1 species
AGCCUUUUGAAUUUAUAAAAGGUUUUUCCUGCCCGGUGUUCUUUUCGAAUUAACGGCCGCGGUACUCUGACCGUGCUAAGGUAGCAUAAUCAUUUGCCUUAUAAUUGAAGGCUAGAAUGAAUGGAUUUACAAGAAAUUUUCUGUCUCUUUCUUUUUUAUAGAAUUUGUUGUCACGGUGAAGAAGCUGUGUUGAAAAAGUUAGACGAGAAGACCCUAUUGAGCUUUACUCUUUCUCGAAUUUUUUAUUCUUUUCUGGAGUUUGAUUGGGGCGAUCGAGGAAGGUUUUUAAUCUUCCUUAUUUAUUUUUGUUAUUUUAUUUUUAAGAUCCUCUUUUAGAGAUCAAAAGAAUUAGUUACCAUAGGGAUAACAGCGUAAUUCUGUUUUAGAGUUCUUAUCGAAAACAGGGUUUGCGACCUCGAUGUUGGACUAAGAUGUCCCGGAGGUGCAGAAGCUUCCAUUGGUGGGUCUGUUCGACCCUUAAAAUCUU